rnacentral:lncRNA from 1 species
GUGCAUUUUAUUAGUAUAAAAAACGGCUCAUUAUAAUUUUGUUUUUCAUGAAAAAAAAACGACGCAUGCAUGCAGGUGUUUAAUUGUUUGGACUACGGCGCGUGUUUAUUGAUGGCCCUUUUCGGCCAUCGUAUACUUGUGAGUGUUCGAAGAUAUGCAUUAAGUCCCGCGGCACGUGUGCGGUGGCGUUAAGAUAUGGCCACUUUAUUCACGCGUGUCAUUAAUUUUCUCCGAAUAUACUCAUCUCCUGAAUAAUUUCAACCACGAUUAUUAAUGCUUCUCCCA